rnacentral:lncRNA from 1 species
UCUCAACUAACCUCAACUCUAUCAUCUCAAACCUCUCAUUCCAACAGGACUGGCGCCCAGAGAGCAAAGCUCGACCAGGGACCUUACCUCCAGUCCGGUCACUUAACUCUCAGCCUUAGCCUUUCGGCUCUCUUAUCCAAUAAGACUAGCGCCCAGAGAGCAUAGCUCGACCAGGGACCUUACCUCCAGUCUGGUCACUUAAAUUUCCAAAUAA